UACGAAGGGGGCUAGCGUUGUUCGGAAUUACUGGGCGUAAAGCGCGCGCAGGCGGCUCUUCAAGUCAGGGGUGAAAGCCCAGAGCUCAACUCUGGAACUGCCUUUGAGACUGAAGAGCUUGAGUACGAGAGAGGUGAGUGGAAUUCCCAGUGUAGAGGUGAAAUUCGUAGAUAUUGGGAAGAACACCGGUGGCGAAGGCGGCUCACUGGCUCGUAACUGACGCUCAUGCACGACAGCGUGGGGAUCAAACAGG
rnacentral:rRNA from 1 species